CAGUCGUACCGACGAGAAAUCAGCUUAUCGUGUGUUAACUUGUGGGCGUGCGUGAGUUUCGGCCUCGCUGUUUGCAUGUUUGUGCGCUUUGGGUGUACUUUUUCGUAUGGUUGGCCAACAUCAGUUUCGAUCACUAUAAAAUGACAACCAAAAUUGAUGUUAACUUACACUACGGGCAAGUACACCCAAAGUCGCACGAAUAUGCAGGCAUGAA
rnacentral:rRNA from 1 species